rnacentral:rRNA from 1 species
UAGGGAAUCUUCGGCAAUGGGGGCAACCCUGACCGAGCAACGCCGCGUGAGUGAAGAAGGUUUUCGGAUCGUAAAGCUCUGUUGUAAGAGAAGAACGUGUGUGAGAGUGGAAAGUUCACACAGUGACGGUAACUUACCAGAAAGGGACGGCUAACUACGUGCCAGCAGCCGCGGUAAUACGUAGGUCCCGAGCGUUGUCCGGAUUUAUUGGGCGUAAAGCGAGCGCAGGCGGUUUAAUAAGUCUGAAGUUAAAGGCAGUGGCUUAACCAUUGUUCGCUUUGGAAACUGUUAAACUUGAGUGCAGAAGGGGAGAGUGGAAUUCCAUGUGUAGCGGUGAAAUGCGUAGAUAUAUGGAGGAACACCGGUGGAGAAAGCGGCUCUCUGGUCUGUAACUGACGCUGAGGCUCGAAAGCGUGGGGAGCAAAUAGG